rnacentral:lncRNA from 1 species
AAGGUCCUAAGUCAGAUGCUCAAUGAGAUCACAAACAACGAGAGGCCUGAUUAGGAAUGAAAAAAUGUUGUCAUUACAAGUGACAAAGCUCCAAAUGAGAAAGAAGAAAAAGAAGACAAAAGAGAGGAUGAGAGAAAAAUAGAGGGAAAAGAAGAAGAGAGUUUGAGCAAUGAGGAGAAAGAAAAAGAAGAGAAAGAGGAAGAAAUAAAAAUAGAGAGAGGAAGAAGAAAACUUGAAUGAGAAAGAAAAAGAGGUAGAAAAGAAAGAAGAUGAGAGCAAAGAAAAAAAAUGUUUGAGAAAAGAAGAGAAGGAAGUAGAAAAAGAAAAAGAAGGGGUUGAGGAAGAAGAGAAAAAAAUUGAGAAAAGUCCUUUUUGUCCUAAAGAAUGUCCCAAGGAGAAAAAGAAA